UUGCAGAAAACUCUCAGCUGAAAUUUCAUUCACUUCCCAUCGAAGAAUCACAAAGCUCAAAACAGUAGGAGAAUCGAUUCUUCGACACUGUUUUCUACAUUUGUUUUUAUAUAUACAUGUAGCUCUCUCUCUCUCUCUCUAGCUCAUCUGGUUCAUUCCUCAAACUGCCAUCAGUUUGAGCAAGAUGGCUAAUCCAAAUAAUGUUGAGCUGGAGGCAGCAAAGUUUCUGCAUAAGCUUAUUCAAGAGUCUAAAGACGAGCCGACAAAAUUGGCUACAAAGCUUUAUGUGAUUUUACAACAUAUGAGAUCCAGCGGGAAGGAGAACUCAAUGCCCUAUCAAGUAAUAUCAAGGGCCAUGGAGACUGUUGUCAAGCAACAUGGUCUUGAUAUUGAGGCUUUAAUGUCCUCGCGUCUUCCUAUGUCUGCGGGAGUGCAAGUAGGAGAAGCUGCAUCAUCACAAGUAGCUGGAUCUUCACAGAGGGCCGGGGUAACUAGAGAAUCGAAAGCCAAUUUGCUGGGAAACGAGAUGGUAAAACCAGAUGCAUAUGCGUCAAACAGUGCAGUUAGUGGUCCAAGCGGCAGUGGACAUGGUAUUUAUCAAGCAUCUGCACCACACAUAGGUGGUACAGGCGUCAAAGUUCCUGUAAUGGUGCCUUCUGCGUCUAAUUCAUCUCAGCCAGUAGAACCAGGAAUUUCAAGUCCAGUGCAGUUUGGAAGUCCUUCAAUUGAUAAUCAUGGUUAUGCAGCAAAAUUCCACAAAGAUGGAAGCACGGAACCUUUCUCUGGUUCAACCUCGGUUGAUCUUGUUGCCGGCAGAACUGCAGCGGGAAGAGCACUAGAGCAUGAAGGAGGAUCUAGUAUGUUGGGAAAUGCUAGCAAGAUCAGUCAGGGGGGCAUGCCUAACAAUGUCCCGGAGAAGAGUAUGCUUAGAAGUGAAACUAUCAGAGAUGCAGGGAAGUUACCUGUUGCGGCUCAGGCUCCUGUAUCUGCCAUGCCUUUCAAAGAACAUCAUUUGAAACAGCUUAGAGCACAAUGUCUUGUGUUUUUGGCUUUUAGGAAUGGUUUAAUGCCUAAGAAGCUUCAUCUUGAAAUUGCGCUUGGCAACUUCUAUCCCAAAGAAGGAAGGGAGCAACUGCUUACUGACCAAGGCAGUGCAUCUGAAGUCACACGGCCAUUAGGAGGAGCUGGCGAAAUUGACAGGCUUUCUUCUGGGCCUACGUCCUCUGGAGUUAUUGCUGAUACAAAUUCGUCAAUGGAGGCUGAGAAUGCUAACUUGAUGGAAGAUAAAAGUAGUCAGCUUGAUCCUUCUGAGCAUGCGGACGAAAGGAGGCCUCAAAGAAAGAUGAGAAUGAUUCAGGAUGCUGAAGUGCCCAUCCGGGAUGCUACAGAAUCACAGGCAUCUGCUCUUAGAGGAGUACCAAUUGAUUCAAAACCCUUAGGUCCCAAUAAUCAUGAGCAUGCUCUCGCAAAUACUGAACAACCAGGAAUGUUUCCCCAAGCUUCCUCUGUUACGGGCACAAGCAUGCAAAUGAAGCCUGAUCUUAGUGGUUGGAGUGGAACUGAGGCGUCAAAGGUAUCACCACCUGCCUCUGCCAAUACCCAUGAAUCUGGUCUGCUAAUGAAAGAUUGUGCUGCUGAUAGCAAUGCUCAAGGAAAUCGACAUGCUGAUAGUAACUUGCCUAGUUUACCCUUGAGGCAACAGUGGAAAUCUGUUCCUGGAGCAAUUAAUCAGAGUCCUAUAAUGAUGCAAGUGAAGGAUUCAAAUAUAAUGCUGAAAAAUCUGUCACAAGUGCAAGAAACAGAUCAAGAGGAUGAAAAUAUUUCAGCAUCCACAGAUAGGUUACUAUCUCCAAGGCAUACAAUGAUGGAGAAAUGGAUUUUGGAUCGGCAGAAAAGGAAACAUCUUAGUGAACAGAAAUGGUCGGAGAAACAGCAAAAAACGGAAAAAAGAAUUGCUUCUUGUGCAGCGAAGUUGAAGGAAUCGGUGAGCUCCUCUGAGGAUAUCUCUGCAAAAACAAAAAGUGUCAUUGAGCUGAAAAAGCUUCAAUUGCUGGAGCUGCAGCGCCGUCUACGGAGUGAAAUUCUCAACGAUUUUUUCAAACCAAUAGCAGCUGACAUAGAGCGCUUAAAAUCAAUCAAGAAACACAGAAUUGGGAGGAAAUCAAAGCAACUUGAAAGAUAUGAACAAAAAAUGAAGGAAGAGCGUCAAAAAAGAAUUCGUGAGAGACAGAAGGAGUUCUUCAGUGAGAUUGAAGUUCAUAGGGAAAGAUUGGAAGAUGUAUUCAAAAUGAAGAGAGAACGUUGGAAAGGUUUCAAUAAGUAUGCUAAAGAGUUCCAUAAAAGGAAGGAACGGAUACAUCGUGAGAAGAUUGACAGAAUCCAGCGUGAGAAAAUUAAUUUGCUGAAAAUCAAUGAUGUUGAGGGAUACCUUAGAAUGGUUCAGGACGCAAAGUCGGAUCGUGUUAAACAACUACUAAAAGAGACGGAAAAGUACCUCCAACAGCUUGGAUCCAAAUUAAAGGACGCUAAGUCAAUAGCAAGAAAAUUUGAUACCGACAUGGGUGACAAUAGAAACACUGGUGUGGUUGAGGAGGAUGAAAUUGACUUCGGUGAUGAGGAUGAAACAGAUCAGGCUAAGCAUUACUUGGAAAGCAAUGAAAAAUACUAUAUGAUGGCACAUAGUGUAAAGGAGACCAUUGCAGAGCAGCCUACUUCUCUCAAAGGUGGAAAAUUAAGGGAGUACCAAAUGAAUGGAUUACGAUGGUUGGUUUCGCUCUACAAUAACCAUUUGAAUGGAAUUUUAGCUGAUGAGAUGGGACUCGGUAAAACUGUUCAGGUUAUAUCCCUAAUGUGUUACCUGAUGGAAGCCAAAAAUGACAGAGGACCUUUUCUGGUGGUAGUGCCAUCCUCUGUCCUGCCUGGAUGGGAGUCAGAGAUAAACUUUUGGGCACCAGAUAUGCUCAAAAUAGUUUAUUCUGGACCACCAGAAGAGCGGAGGAAGCUUUUCAAGGAAAGAAUAGUUCAUCAAAAGUUCAAUGUUCUUUUGACAACAUAUGAGUAUUUGAUGAACAAACAUGAUCGGCCAAAACUAAGCAAAAUACAUUGGCACUAUAUCAUAAUUGAUGAAGGCCAUCGCAUAAAAAAUGCUUCUUGCAAGUUGAAUGCUGAUCUCAAGCACUAUCGCAGUAAUCAUAGGUUGCUGUUGACGGGAACUCCUCUUCAGAACAAUCUUGAGGAGCUCUGGGCACUCCUUAACUUCCUUUUGCCAAAUAUCUUCAACUCAUCAGAAGACUUCUCACAAUGGUUUAACAAACCAUUUGAGAGUAAUGGUGACAACUCUGCUGAUGAGGCUUUGCUCUCCGAGGAGGAAAAUCUUUUGAUCAUAAAUCGUCUGCACCAAGUUCUGCGUCCGUUUGUACUUAGGAGAUUGAAACACAAGGUUGAGAAUGAAUUACCUGAAAAGAUUGAAAGGCUUGUUAGAUGUGAAGCUUCUUCAUAUCAGAAGCUUUUGAUGAAGCGAGUGGAAGAAAACCUUGGUGCAUUCGGAACUUCAAAGGCUCGCUCAGUCCACAAUUCUGUUAUGGAGCUACGCAAUAUUUGUAAUCAUCCGUAUCUUAGCCAGCUUCAUGUGGAGGAGAUUCACGAGUUAAUUCCUAAGCAUUAUCUGCCGAACAUUGUGAGGAUUUGUGGGAAGCUUGAGAUGUUGGACAGACUACUGCCGAAACUUAAGGCAACAGAUCAUCGGGUCUUGCUUUUCUCAACUAUGACCAGGCUGCUUGAUGUAAUGGAGGAUUAUCUCUGCUGGAAGGAAUAUAAGUACCUUCGCUUGGAUGGACAUACGUCUGGGGGCGAUAGAGGUGCCCUUAUUGAUGGAUUUAAUCAGCCAAAUUCUCCAUUCUUUAUAUUUCUGUUGAGUAUUCGUGCUGGGGGAGUUGGAGUGAAUCUUCAAGCUGCUGAUACAGUGAUACUUUUUGACACGGAUUGGAAUCCUCAGGUUGAUCUCCAAGCACAGGCAAGGGCUCAUAGGAUUGGUCAAAAGAAGGAUGUUCUUGUUCUUCGAUUGGAAACGGUCCAAACCGUUGAGGAACAAGUUAGAGCUGCUGCGGAGCACAAACUUGGAGUCGCUAACCAAAGCAUUACUGCUGGAUUCUUUGAUAAUAACACAAGUGCGGAGGACCGAAGGGAAUACUUGGAGUCCCUCUUGCGUGAAAGCAAAAAAGAGGAAGCUGCACCCGUUCUUGAUGAUGAUUCUUUGAAUGAUCUUAUAGCGCGAAGUGAGCCAGAGAUUGAUAUAUUUGAAUCAAUUGAUAGGAGAAGGCGUGAAGAAGAGAUGGAAGUCUGGAAGAAGUUGUGUUCAGAAAGUGGAAGUUCAGAGCUCAUUCCUCCUUUGCCCUCUCGGCUUCUUACUGAUGAAGACUUGAAACCAUUUUAUGAAGCAAUGAAAAUAAAUGAUAAGCCAGCUGUGGCUCCUAACCCUGGGUUAAAACGGAAGGGUGAGAGUCUUGGGGGCCUUGAUAUCCAACAUUAUGGACGUGGAAAAAGAACAAGAGAGGUUCGCUCAUAUGAAGAGCAAUGGACAGAAGAGGAAUUUGAGAAAAUGUGCCUUGCUGAGUCUCCUCAAUCACCUAUUCUAAGGGAAGAAAUUCAGGAAAAGAAAUUCUUUCCAGUCUCUGGCAGUUGUCCUGCCCCUGUUGCCAUUAGUGAAAUACAAACACCAGCACUGGAUCAACCUCCUCCCCAGCAGCCUGCGCAAGAACUUCCCCAACAGCUUGCCCAAGAACUUCCCCAACAGCCUGCACAAGAGCUUCCCCAACAACUUCUUGGGCCCAUAGUUCAACAAAGCCCUGUGACCGUGACUCCGCCAUCUAAACGGGGCCGGGGAAGGCCAAGGAGGACAGCAAUAGUAACUGAAAUCUCACCGUCCCCUGUCGUUCUUUCAGCAACUGCAGCUGUAAAGGUGGAUAGCAUAUCCGUUGCAGAAAAUACUUCUACCAGUCAGGCAACUUCUGGGCCUGUUUCUGUGUCCAUUCCUUGUGCUUCCUCUGUGGAAAGUACCAGUGCAACUAUCCUAGAGAGUGCUGCAGCUGUUGCUCCUAGCCAUCAGGCAAUUGUUCCUUCUGUUGCUUCUCUGUCUGGUCCUCCUUGUCCUCCUACAAGUGGGCAGGGUAGGGGACGAGGUAGAGGGCGAGGGCGAGGUCGAGGGCGAGGUAGGAAGGUCGAAAAUGGAGAAGCUCCAGGGCGUAGAGGGAAACGACAGAGUGUUACAACAGAGGCGUUUCUCUCCCCUCCAACUCAAGCAAUAAGUGAGCCUGUCUCGGCAGCACAAGGUGUGAGUGUUUUGAGCUCUUCAAGUCACCAUAUGCCUCCAACACCUCCCUCAAUGGGGAAGCCUGAUCUGGUGCCACAGGUAGUGGCAGGUUUGGGUUCAAAAGAACUUGGUCAUGCUCCUGCAUCCGUGAGAGAUGCUAAUAAGGAACUGAAUUCAGUUUCUAUGAUGCCUCUUGCAUCAUCUUCCACUAGCAAGGAAGUAAUCUCUGUUUCAACUGUUCCUGUUAUUCCAUCAUCUACUUCCAGCCAGGACCCUAGUUCAAUUUCACCUGCAGUCCAUUCAUCCUCAAAAAACCAUUCAGAAGACAAUCUUUCCUUCUCUGCUGCCCAGACCGAAGCUACUCAGCAAGCUAAUGCAAUUUCAGUUGUGCCUCAUACUUCACCUUCGGCUGGCACGGAACCAAGUUCUGCGUCACCUGUUCCUCUUCUUUCGUUAACUUCCAAGGACUCCGGUUCAGUUUUACCUGCUCCUGUUCCUGCAUCAUCUUCUGCAUGCAUGGAACUAAGUUCAGUUUGCCCUGUUCCUGCUGUUGCAUCCUCCUGUUCCAGCAUGGGUCCAACUUCGUCAGCACCUGCUCCUCUUCUUUUAGCAUCUAAUGCAACAGGCAAAUUAGAUUCCGGAUCAGAUAAGGGGACAUUUUCUUUCUCUUCUGCUAUUUCAGGUCAUGAUGAUUCUUUAUGUGAUUCUUCUAUCUUGAAGAAUAUUGGUCAAGGAGAUUCUGGUGUAGGAACUGGUCAUAUUUCUGAUCUAGUGCCUUUGCCUGCAAUUUCAUCGGUUUCACAGUAUAGCACUCCUCCCACUGCAGCUAAGCCAGGUAGAGGACGAGGACGCAAGCCUCAAACUGGAAGUGAGCCACCACGGCGCAGGGGGAAGAGACAUGAUUUGAUCACCACAACUGUUACUGAAGGGUUAGGUGCUCAGGAUCCAAGAUCAAUUGAACCCCCACAAAAGAGAACCAGGUUAUCCGUUGGGAGGAAGCCCACUACAAGAAGCAAGCGUGAGAAUGAAGCUCAACAAGUAGUUGUAGACCAGUCGGUUGCAUCUCAAAGGACUCCAGAUUUUUCUGGUGGACAAAUCCAAGAUAUGGUCCGUAGUGAAAUUGAUCCACAGAACAAUGCUAUCAACCGAGAUGCAUCUCAAUCCCAUGCUAUUCUGGUUCCUGGUCAGGUGGGUGAUAAUGUAAACCCGGAUAUUGAUACUGCUGAAAAGGUUCUCGAUGAUGCUCAGAGAAAGGCAACUGUGAUCCAAUCUGUUGCACCUCGAAGUUGCUCUGGUCCUCCUAUUGAGCUGCAGAUUAACAUGGUCAACUCUGGCGAUUCUCCUGCUCAGGAAGUGCAGGAACAAACAGCCAUUGUCCAGUCAGAUGCAUCUCAAAUGAUUCCAGAUCCUAGUGCAAGACCAAUCCCUCAAGCUAUGGUGCGUUCUGAAGUUGAGCUACAUAGCAAUGCUAUCAAAUCCGACACAUCACAAUCCAGUGGUCGUGUUGCUGAAUGGGUAGAUACUGUUAAUAUAAGCCGUGGAGCUGCUACAACUAAGGAGGUUCUCAGUGAGGAUCAACAAAUAAUGAAAGUUCAGUCAGCUGCAUCUCAGACGCCUUCAGUUCACUCUGUUGGGAAAAUCCCUGAAGAUAUAGUGUGUAAUGAAGUUCAGCCGCAGUCUGAUGCUAUCCAAACAGAUCCAUCGCAAUCCCAUGUUACUCUUUCCUCUGCACGGGUGGACAAUGUCAAGGAAAAAGAAAAUGCUAUGACGAGAGAGGUGCCCUUGGUAACUCCACUAUCAGAGGCCAAAGAAGAGAGAUAUUCGAGAAGUAAAUAUGACAGCCCUCCAAUUUUACGUGUAUCUUCUUGUGAUGAGUUGGCUGUAUCAACUUCAGGAUCAAGGGCUCAGGUUAGUGAUUGUCUGGCUGAGAAGAGUGAAGGUGAUUCUAAGGGUGAAGGUGCUGAAAAGAGUGAAACUAAUUCUAAAGGUGAAGGUGGUAAAAUUGAGGCUAUGAAUGACAAAUGUGAGAGUGAUUGUAAGAAUGAAAAUGAUGAAAAGGGAGCUGGGAGAUGCAUGAAGGUUGGUGAAUCACAGGCAUCAUCUCUAAGUUAUGUCGAAUCUACAUUAGUUCAAAUCCAUGCAAGCAAUUGCACGAAUGCUGCUCUACUCGAUAAGGAGGAUUCAUGCAAAACUUCACUGGCAGGUAAGAGUGGGUCAAACAUGGCUGCAGAAAAAGAUGUUGACCUGCUACAGACGGAGGAUCUUUCUCUUGAUAAAUCAUUUGUUAGUAAAACUGAGGUAGCCAGCAUUGAGAGUCGUGAUGGUGGUGGACUCACAAAAGAAAAGGACACAGGAGACACCAUAGAGGAGGAGACUGUUGUUUCACCUGCAGUGGGGACUGAUAGUCAAAAUAUGAAGGGAAUCACAUCCUUUGGAUCUCCAUCUACCGAGACAGAAGCUUUAGUUGAUGUUCAUCAGGAAGGCAAACUUGAAGUAUCGGGAGAAGGAACACAUUCUGAUAAAGUUGUAAUGGCCGAGGUUUGUGAACCAGACAAGUUAUCAGUUAAAGCUUCACUGGAGAUAACUAAAGAUUUAAGUAGGGUGGAGGAGGAAAAAUCUUUGACUCCAGAAACUUUUGAGAAGCAAGCUAAUGUUGCAGACUCCCUUACAGAAAAAUGUGAGAGCGAUCUUGCAGCGCAAGGUCCAGAUAUGAAAGAUUCGGAUGUAAGUGAAGUUGCACCAAGCCCUAGAAAUGAGUCCCAAUCCAGUUUAACUGUUGGCACAUCACAAAGGGAACCUGAACAACAAGCAAUUGCUGAAGCAAACUUGCACCCAGAGACUUUGCGAAGCACGGAAUCUGGUGCUAGGGAGGAAUCCCUUUCACUUAGGAUUGCUUCAAAUCCCGAAGCUGUUGAGGCUCCAAAAGAAACAUUUUGCAGCAACCAUGACACGAAUUGUGUAGCUGAAUUACAGGGUAACAUGAGUUCUGAUGUAAAGGAAGAUCUUUCUAAUUCUGAAACUAAUGUGUCUCAACUAUGUCCAGCUGUUGGGUCAUCUGAAAAUCACCCAGAAUUAAAACAGGUUAUGGUGGAAGACAUGCGAACUAAAAUUUGUGAGGAGUCUGCUUCACAUGAAGUUGAUGAUAUUGUACUGCCUCAAACGGAGAAAGCUGGUGUUCAGUGCCGUGAUGAUUUGUCUGUUGAGACAAUCGAGAGCAGAAGAUCUGAAGAUAAUGUAGAUGUUUUAAAUGGUGAACUAAAAAAACCUCCAUCCAGCACAAUUGCUGGAACAUCUGAAAAGGUAGCAGAUCUGCUGUUAGUUGCUGAGGAAAACACAGUAAGGAUAAAUGAUGGUUCAAUAGAUUCAGGUCACGUGGCAGAAAAGUCCGAGGAUAUAUCAAUCCAAGAUCUUACUGUUGAAGGUCAAGCGACCAAGGGAAGUGAUGCUGCCGAAGAUACUUCAACAUCAAAUUCUACAUUUAAUGAACCUCAACACAGUGCUGGCACAUCUAAAAAUGAAGUGGAAUCUCAAUUUUCUGCCUUAGAAAAAAUAGAAAAGAUGUAUAGCGAGUCAGUGGCAUCGGGUGAGGUAAUAGCUCCCAAACCUCCGAUAAAAAAGUCUCAGAGUUUGCAUGUCCAAGACCUGGUGGACAAAGGAUUUGAUGCCACUGGAGAUGUUUUAAAAUCUAAGUCUGAACUAAAUGAAGCUCAACCUGGUGGAACAUCUCAAAUAGGGGUAGAGUUACAGUUGGUUGUGGAAGAGAACUCAGAGACGAGGAAUAAGGAGGAUGGUUUACCUGAUGCUACAGCUGUUAAGCCCACUGAGAAUUUGGGUAUCCAAGAUCCUGCACAUCAAGAAGCCGAGAACCAACGAUCUGAUGCAACUGAAGAGUUUUCAACAUUAAAUGUUGAACUUAAUGAAUCUCAACCAGAAGCAGCAGAUGGAACUUCUGAAAGAGUGGUGGAGUCUAAUUCAGUUUCCAAACAAGACAUGGAAAUUCAUGAGGAGGUUCCUACCGGGGAUGAUACAGCUGAGAAUGCUGCAGUAGGGAAGUCUAAAAAUUUUCCCUCGAUAGAUGUUGCUGUUGAAGGAAAAGGGAAUAAAGAAUCUGAUGUAACAGAUGAAAUUUCCAAUUCUGAACUCAGUGAACCUAAAUCCAGUCAAUCCACAAUUAAUGUGGAAACACAUUUAAUUUGUGAUGAGUCGGGAAUGACUGACAAGGAGGUGGCUCCACUUGAAGUUGAAGUAGUUGAAACUCCAUGCAGAGAUUUUCCUGGUGGUUCUGGCAGAGACUUGGAAGUUGAAGGACAAGAAGAAAAGAAGUCUACUGCAAGUAAAAAUGUUUCUAACCCUGAGAGUGAAGAGCCUAAAGGCAGUCCAGGUGCUAGAGCCGCUGAUAAUGGGGCAGAAUCACAAUUGGUCGCUGAGAGGAUCUCCGAGACAGCUCUGAGCAAGGAGGUCUUUUCAGGCAAAGAAGAGAACUCCAGUAUCAAGCAAGGUGGAGAUGAAAACAUGUCAACUGCAACAGAGUAUGUUGAUGAAGAAUUGUCAUCUGCUACAGGGGCUGGUGAUGAUAAAACUGUGUCCACUGCAGUUACUGAUGCUUGAUCUGGCAUUUCUCCUGUAUUGCAGGUUACGUCUUAACAAUCUUGGGAGGAUAGGGAUUGAUAUAAACUAGCAACAGUACCUCGAGGAUUUCCAGUUCUUCAUGCGGAUCUCCAGACGUGAUGGAUGAGCAGGACUGGCAUCGCUGGCAUCACUGGAAUCUGCAUCUUCAAAGCGGAUGAUUCAGGUCAAAGGUUUAAAGUUAGAUAGUAUGUGAACUGGUAGUGUAUACUCCCUAUUUGCUGUAAAUUAUAUAUGUAGUUAUUAGCUCAUUCCUCCGUCCCUGGGUGUAUGUACGCGAUAUAACCUGGUCCAAAAUCUCUGGCAGCUCACAGCUGUAUCGAUAUUAUUUCCGCUAUAGUCAGAAGCUCCUCUUUCUGGCCAAGUUUCUCUCUCACAGGCCAUUGACUUUAGGAUUGCACCUGAAUUGUCUAUAGUCGUCUAUUUACCUUCUUAUCAAUUUGUUUUUCCACUUUCUA